CGCCUCGCGCGCCGUGCGCCUUGUGGGUUAAGGAUUUAUGAGCAAGGGUUAGAGUGGGGAGAGAUAGCGGCGGGUGCGUGUUGUGUAUGGGAUUUGGAUUGGGAGGGUGCGGCGGCGGGGCCUAGACGCGCGGCGGCGGGGUCUAGUCGAGCAGCAAGGGGAGAGCGGUGCCGUAGAGCCUGGGACCGGAGGGAAGGGAAUAGGGCGUGAGUUCCUCCUCGUCGUUGUAGGGCGACUGCUCGUCGUUGCGGAGGGCGGCACGACUCUCACUCCUCGUCGUUGUGGCAGGUGGCCGUUCGUCGUCGUCGCAGCAGGCGGUCGCGGUCGACCAAGUCUCCUCGACGACCGGCAAGAAGAAGGAGGUGUCCGCUUCGGACAGGGCCGACUAAGGGGAACGGGACGGGGCGGAGGUCUUGAGUUGUAUAGGUUGGAACGUCUUUCGGUACCAACAGCAGUAGCGUCUCAAGUCCUCUUGGCUCUUACUAAUAUGUGCUGGUUAUGUCUUGCUGGAGAGGUCAUCAACUUUUGGUUCCACUUUACCUCCCUUCAUAGUUCAGCUUCUAUAAUACCGAAAACAUGUAGAAGAUAAAAGAAGUUUACCUUCAACUACAGCCAAACCACUGGCUUCUGAACCCGAGACGGUAUCACAAAACAUCUCACUAGCUUAUAAAUCAGAGAAUACUUGAACUGGGUAUAAAACAUCGUACGGUGUUGAACAUACAACUGAACUUAUAAAGAAAUUACCAACAUCGUUCCUUUUGAUUACUUAGAAGAUAUAUACAACUUAUUUACGCAACCAGUUACCG
rnacentral:rRNA from 1 species